GAUGAACGCUGGCGGCGUGCCUAAUACAUGCAAGUCGAGCGAACAGACGAGGAGCUUGCUCCUCUGACGUUAGCGGCGGACGGGUGAGUAACACGUGGAUAACCUACCUAUAAGACUGGGAUAACUUCGGGAAACCGGAGCUAAUACCGGAUAAUAUAUUGAACCGCAUGGUUCAAUAGUGAAAGACGGUUUUGCUGUCACUUAUAGAUGGAUCCGCGCCGCAUUAGCUAGUUGGUAAGGUAACGGCUUACCAAGGCAACGAUGCGUAGCCGACCUGAGAGGGGGAUCGGCCACACUGGAACUGAGACACGGUCCAGACUCCUACGGGAGGCAGCAGUAGGGAAUCUUCCGCAAUGGGCGAAAGCUUGACGGAGCAACGCCGCGUGAGUGAUGAAGGUCUUCGGAUCGUAAACCUCUGUUAUUAGGGAAGAACAAAUGUGUAAGUAACUAUGCACGUCUUGACGGUACCUAAUCAGAAAGCCACGGCUAACUACGU
rnacentral:rRNA from 1 species